rnacentral:rRNA from 1 species
UGCAAGUCGAGUGCGCGUUUCUGUAGCAAUACAGGAAUGGCGCACGGCGCACGGGUGCGUAACACGUGGGUAAUCUGCCCUCUGAUGGGGAAUAACCCGCCGAAAGGCGGGCUAAUUCCGCAUAACAUUCCUUGGACUCCGGUUCGAGGAUUCAAAGGCGUAAGUCGUCGGAGGUGGAGCCCGCGCACGAUUAGCUAGUUGGUAGGGUAACGGCCUACCAAGGCUUUGAUCGUUAGCUGGUCUGAGAGGAUGGCCAGCCACACUGGAACUGAGACACGGUCCAGACUCCUACGGGAGGCAGCAGUGGGGAAUCUUGCACAAUGGGCGAAAGCCUGAUGCAGCGACGCCGCGUGGGGGAUGAAGCUUCUCGGAGUGUAAACCCCUUUCGACCCGGACGAAUGCCCCGCAAGGGGAGUGACGGUACGGGUAUAAGAAGCCCCGGCUAACUACGUGCCAGCAGCCGCGGUAAGACGUAGGGGGCCAGCGUUGUUCGGAAUUACUGGGUGUAAAGGGUUCGUAGGCGGUGUAGCAAGUUGGGAGUGAAAUCUCUGGGCUCAACUCAGAGGCUGCUUCCAAAACUGCUGUGCUGGAGUGUGGGAGAGGCGCGUGGAAUUGCAGGUGUAGCGGUGAAAUGCGUAGAUAUCUGCAGGAACACCCGUGGCGAAGGCGGCGCGCUGGACCACUACUGACGCUGAGGAACGAAAGCUAGGGGAGCAAACAGGAUUAGAUACCCUGUAGUCCUAGCCCUAAACGAUCAGGACUUGGGGUGCCACCCGUUCGGGUGUCGUCCCGACUAACGCGUUAAUCCUGCACCUGGGGAGUACGGUCCAAGA